rnacentral:pre_miRNA from 1 species
GGAAUAUAAGAAUCCGUCUCUUAACUUUUAACUAAAAAAAUUAAGAACCGGCUCUUAAAACUCUUAUUUAAGAACCGGUUCUUAACUUUUUUAGUUAAAAGUUAAGAGACGGGUUCUUAUAUUUC